CCUUUUUCAGAAUUAUUAAAUAAAAAUCAAAUUUCAGCAUUGAUCAAAAAUCUUCAAAUUCAAUUCAUUACCCAAGAGACAUUACCUAAAAACAAUACAACACCGUUUUCGUAGGAAACACGAUUGCACUUAGCAUGUGUAACAAGCCUUUAAACCUUAAGUUUACCCCAAGUGGACGAGUUAUGUCUCGUGAGGGUUUGCAGUGAAUAUACCCACAAAAUUCAAAAUAAAAGUAAAAUAUAAAAUAAAAUAAAAUCACAACAUAGAUCUACACAUCAAAACAAAAUAUAGGAAGACCCCCAAACUUGAACUGACAUUAUCCUUAAAGUAUGCAAUAAAAGAAAUUAAUGCAAGAACUUCCUCGAAAAGAGGUCAGUUGUCGCUGUCCGCAAUCGUCUCCUUUUAUCUGCUAAGAUGUGUGAUCUGAAAAACACAAAAAUUAAACAAAUUAAUUACAAAAAAAAAAAUACAAGUUUAAAUUAAGAUCAACUUGAUUGAAAUCAAUAUUGAAAAAAUAUUAGAAAAAUAACACACCGGCAACGGCUCCAAAAACUUGUUGGUUGAUUUAACAAUCAAUAAAUACGAGCAAGUAUACACGGUCAACAAAUAAUAAAAUGAUAAGAAGAGUAUCAUUCCCACGAGAAAUUAAUUCUAACGUUUUAUCAAGUACCAACUUUAUAUCAAGUCAGUCUUUUUUAAACGGAUAAAUUAAUGAAUACUAAUUUAACUAAACAUAAAUAACUAAAUAAUAAAAUAUAAUUACAUAGAUAAAUACAUUUAAGAAUUCAAUUUCUUCUUAUGCUUCAUUCAAAUAUCAUAACUCUCUAUCGAAUUAUACAGUCACGAUGAAUUGUUAAUCGAGAAUUCGUUAGUAUUUAUACGCCUCCUUCGAUGGUCAUAUAAACAUAUCCUUUCUAAUUUCACCACAAUAAGAAUAGAAUCAAAUAGGAACAUCAUAGCUAAAUAACUCACUAUAUUCCUAUGUGAGUUAAAUUAACAUGAAUUUUAAGCAUAGAUUCUCCAAUUGGUUACACAUGGCAUAUAGGUAUAUCCCUAUCCUAUACACAAAUCAUAAAUUUCAUCACAUGCAGAAAACACAAUCAUAUGUUAUCAUAUUCAUAUCUAAAUCUAUAAUUCAUCUCCCAAUUUAAUAUAGAUUGUCCCAUUAAUUACUAACCGGUUAAUUAAUACAUGAACGCACAAAAUAUGAUAAACCAAUUCAUAUGGUGCCAAUCAAAUAGAAAGAAAUUUAAUUUAAACUACAUAAGAGAUUCCAUUAAAAAUUUAAAUUAAAAACAUGUUAUAGCAAAUAAAAUUAUAAUCCACAAAAUAUUCUGCAUCAAUGAAAGACAAAAAAAAAAUAAAGGUUUAGAGAAGAAAAACCGUCUUCCGCAAAUAUUCUAUCUCCAAGCUUCAUCAAUCCAUGACCUCCAUUUUUGAUAAUAGUUUGCUUAUCCUUGAACUAUGAAGAUAAUUAGCCUCACAUGGUGUUCAUUGACUUUUUUCCAACAACUUUUAUAAUCCUAAGAGAAUUACAAUCCUAAUUAAAUUUACAUACAUAAUAUCCUAAUUUUAAUAUAAAAAAAAACUAUAAUACAAUUCCUUUUUCAAAUCUACAAUUAAUUUUCAUGCAAAAAUUAGGCUUUACAACAUCCAUAUCCUAGUAGAAAUCAUAAAUCAUUGACCCAGUGGGAAAGAAUUUGUGUCCACUUUCUGCCUUCCAAUGCCCCGGCAUUCAAAUCCUUCACAAUACGAAUGCCUCAGCAUUCAACUUCCACUUAUUUAUGAAACUGUCACUGCUUUCCCAAAAUCGUCAGAUUUACCCUUUCUUUGCCUAAAAUUACUCAAAGCAAGCAUAAAAUACCCCCAAACUAAAAUUACUCAAAGCAAGCAUAAAACUUAGUCCAAAAGCAUCCUAUUCAUUGGCACCCAUCAAAUUCCCCAAAAUUUAAAUAUUUGUUUGUCCUCAAGCAGUUUAAACAAAAACUAUAAAAAUAAAAACUAAUAACUAAUUGUCAAACAAGCAAUGAACCAAUUUGAAAUUGAACAUGGCCUCAAAGAUUUGAUUAAAUGAUAACUCUCCUAGAAAAUUUCGAAACUAUGCAAAGCUCAAAAUUCCAACAUCUUAUUAGUCAUACUUCAUUCAAGACCCUUCGUGUGUGUGUAAAUCUAAAUGUAUCAAAUUAGUGAUAGAAAAAAAACUAAAAAAAAAACUCAUAUAAGCAAAUGCAUCAUAAAAGAUAUCAAAAAAAUUAGAUUACAACAAGAAUUUUAUAUGUUUAUCGUCUACAACUUAAAGUGAAUACAAAAAAACAUAACUAUGUGAUCCCAAGGUUUUAAAACAUUUAAGCCCCUUUUAACCCUUCCUCAUGAAUUCAAAACCACAAUUUUUUUUCUUUUAUUAUUUUUUUAGUGAGUGCAUUUUACGCUCCAUCUCACUUUUCAUUGAACGAGUGCGUUUUACGCUUCAUCUCAACCCACCACAUGAUCCAUUCAUUCAACUAGGGAUGGUUCAAAAUUUCUAAAAAAAAAUCUUCAAAUUAACCAAGAUUUCCCCCAAACUGUAUUCUCCUUCGUUUUGCACUUUAAGUUAUAAUCAAAUAAGAUAUAAAGUUCAUAAAUAUCUUUCACAAGUAUUUAACAUAUAAACUUCCUCAAAGUUAAAAUUAGCUCAACCAAAUGGAUAUGUGCAUAAAAGAAUUAAAGGUCUCAAACAAAACAAAAACUAACAAAAAAAAACAAAGACUAAGCAAUAUUUAUCCCUUUUUCUAAGAAUUAUUAAAUAAAAAUCAAAAUUUCAUCAUUGACCAAAAAAUCUUCAAAUUCAGUUAAUUCAUUACCCAAGAGACACUACCUAAAAACAAUACACCAUUUUUGUAGGAAACACGAUUGCACUUAGCAUGUGUAAUAAGUCUUUAAACCCCAAGGUUACCCCAAGUGGACAAGUUGUGUCUCAUGAGAGUUUGCAACGAAUAUACCACCAAAUUCAAAAUAAAAAUAAAAAAAAACUAAAUAAAAUCACAACAUAAAUCUACACAUCAAAACAAAAUAUAGGAAGACCCACAAACUUGAAACUAACAUUAUCCUUAAACUAUGCAAUAAAAGAAAUUAAUGCAAGAACUUCCCUGAAAAGAGGUCAGUUGUCGUUGUCCGCAACCGUCUCCUUUUAUCUACUAAGAUACGUGAUCUGAAAAACACAAAAAUUAAACAAAUUAAUUACAAUAAAAAAAUAAGUUUAAAUUAAGAUCAAUUUGAUUGAAAUCAAUAUUUGAAAAACAUUAGAAAAAUAACUCACCGGCAACAGUGCCAAACACUUGUUGGCCGAUUUAACAGUCAAUAAAUACGAGCUUGUAUACAUGGCCAACAAGUAAUAAAAUGAUAAGAAGAGUAUCGUUCCCACGAGAAAUUAAUUCUAACGUUUUCCCAAGUACCAACUUUAUAUCAAGUCAACCUUAUUUAAACGGAUGAAUUAAUUAAAAUUACUAAUUUAACUAAACAUAAAUAACUAAAUAAUAAAAUAUAAUUACAUAGAUAAAUACAUUUACAAAUUCAAUUUCAUCUCAUGCUUCAUUCAAAUAUCAUAACUCUCCAUCUAAUUAUACAAUCACGAUGAAAUGUUAAUCGAGAUUUCGUUAGUAUUUAUACGCCUCUUCCAAUGGUCAUAUAAACAUAUCCUUUCUAAAUUCACCACAAUAGAAAUAGAAUCGAAAAGGAACGUUCUGGCUAAAUAACUCACUAUAUUCCUAUGUUAGUUAAAUUAACAUGAAUUUUAAGCAUAGAUUCUCCAAUUAAUUGGUUACAUAUGUCAUAUAGGUAUAUCCAUAUCCUAUACAAGAAUUAUGAAUUUCAUCACAUGCAGAAAACACAAACAUAUGUUAUCAUAUUCAUAUCUAAAUCUUUAAUCCAUCUCCCAAUUUAAUAUAUAUUGUCACAUUAAUUACUAGCUAGUUAAUUAAUACAUUAACGCACAAAAUAUGAUAAACCAAUUCAUACGGUGCCAAUCAAAUAGAAAGAAGUUCAAUUUAAACUACAUAUGAGAUUCCAUUAAAAAAACUUAAAUUAAAACCAUGUUAUAUCAGAUAAAAUUAUAAUCCAAAAAUAUUACACAUAAAUAAAAGUCAAAAAAAAAAUAAAGGUUUAGAGAAGAAAAACUGUCUCCCGCAAAUAUUCUAUCUCCAAACUUCAUCAAUCCAUGACAUCCAUUUUUGAUAAUAUCUUGUUUGUCCUUGAACUAUGAAGAGAAUUAGCUUCACAUGGUGUUCAUUGACUUUUUUCCAACAACUUUUAUAAUCCCAAAAUAAGACUAUUUAUAUAAGUUUAUUUUUUCUAACCCUAAUAGAAUUACAAUCCUAAUUAAAUUUACAAAUAUAUUAUCCUAAUUUUAAUUAAAAUACUAUAAUACAGUUCCUUUUCCAAAUCUACAAUUAAUUCCAAUGCAAAAAUUAGGCUUUACAACAUCCAAAUCCUAGUAGAAAUUAUAAAUCCUUGACCCAGCUGGAAAGAAUUUUUGUCCACUUUCUGCCUUCCAAUGCCCCAACAUUCAAAUCCUUCACAAAACGAAUGCCCCGACAUUCAACUUUCACUUAUUUACAAAACUGCCAUUGUUUUCCCAAAAUUAUCAGAUUUACCCUUUCUUUGCCUAAAAUUACUCAAAGUAAGCAUAAAAUAUCCCCAAACUAAAAUUACUAAAAGCAAGCAUAAAACUAUGUCCAAAAGAAUCUGAUUCAUUGGUAUAUUUUUCACUCAGUAAAUAUCCCCAAACUUAAAUAUUUACUUAUCCUCAAGCAGUUUAAACAAAAACUAUAAAAAUAAAACUAAUGACUAAUUGUGCAACAAGCAAUGAACCAAUUUGAAAUUGAACAUGGCCUCAAAAAUUUAAUUAAAUGACAACUCCUAGAAAUUUUCAAAACUAUGCAAAGUUUAAAAUUCCAACAUCUUAUUAGUCAUACUUCAUUCAAGACCCUUCGUGUGUGUGUCAUAAUCUAAAUGUAUCAAAUUAGCAACAACAAAAAAAUGCAAAGAAGCUCAUAUAAGCAAAUGCAUCAUAAAAGAUAUCAAAAAAAUUAGUAUUACAACAAGAACUUUAUAUGCUUAUCGUCCACAACAUAAAUUGAAUACAAAAAAAACAUAACUAUAAGAUCCCAAGGUUUUAAAAUAUUUAAGCCCCUUUUAACCCUUUCUCAGGAAUUCAAAAACACUUUUUUUUCCUUUAAUUAUUUUAUUAUUAUUUUUUUGUGAGUGCGUUUUACGCUCCAUCUCACUUUCCAUAGAACAAGUACGUUUUACGAUCCAUCUCAACCCACCACAUGAUCCAUUCUUUCAAAUAGGGAAGGUUCAAAAUUUCCACAAAAAAAAAAUCUUCUAAUUAACCAAGAUUUCUCCCAAACUUUAUUCUCUUUCGUUUUGCACUUUAAGUUAUGAUCAAACAAGAUAUAAAGUUCAUAAAUAUCUUUUACAAACAUUUAACAUAUAAACUUUCUCAAAGUUAAAACUAGCUCAACCAAAUGGAUAUGUGCAUGAAAGAAUUAAAUGUCUUAAACAAAACAAAAACUAACAAAAAAUACAAAGACUAAGCAAUGUUUAUCCCUUUUUCUAAGAAUUAUUAAAUAAAAAUCAAAAUUUCAUCAUUAACUAAAAAAUCUUCAAAUUCAGUUAAUUCAUUACCUAAAAACAAUACAACACCAUUUUCGUAGGAAACAGGAUUGCACUUAGCAUGUGCAACAAGUCUUUAAACCCCAAGGUUACCCCAAGUGAACGAGUUGUGUUUCGUGAGAGUUUGCAAUAUACCCACAAAAUUCAAAAUAAAAUAAAAUAAAAUCACAACAUAAAUCUACACAUCAAAACAAA
rnacentral:lncRNA from 1 species